rnacentral:rRNA from 1 species
UUGAACGCUGGCGGCCUGCCUUACACAUGCAAGUCGAACGGUAACGGGCCUUCGGGUGCCGACGAGUGGCGAACGGGUGAGUAAUACAUCGGAACGUGCCCGAUCGUGGGGGAUAACGAGGCGAAAGCUUUGCUAAUACCGCAUACGAUCUACGGAUGAAAGCAGGGGACCGCAAGGCCUUGCGCGGACGGAGCGGCCGAUGGCAGAUUAGGUAGUUGGUGGGAUAAAAGCUUACCAAGCCGACGAUCUGUAGCUGGUCUGAGAGGAUGAUCAGCCACACUGGGACUGAGACACGGCCCAGACUCCUACGGGAGGCAGCAGUGGGGAAUUUUGGACAAUGGGCGCAAGCCUGAUCCAGCCAUGCCGCGUGCAGGAUGAAGGCCUUCGGGUUGUAAACUGCUUUUGUACGGAACGAAAAGCCUUCUUUUAAUACAGGAGGGUCAUGACGGUACCGUAAGAAUAAGCACCGGCUAACUACGUG